rnacentral:rRNA from 1 species
CAGUCGCCGCGGGAAUACGAAGGGUGCAAGCGUUAAUCGGAAUUACUGGGCGUAAAGCGUGCGUAGGCGGUGAGUUAAGUCUGCUGUGAAAUCCCCGGGCUCAACCUGGGGAUGGCAGUGGAUACUGGCUCGCUAGAGUGUGUCAGAGGAUGGUGGAAUUCCCGGUGUAGCGGUGAAAUGCGUAGAGAUCGGGAGGAACAUCAGUGGCGAAGGCGGCCAUCUGGGACAACACUGACGCUGAGGCACGAAAGCGUGGGGAGCAAACAGGAUUAGAUACCCCGGUAGUCCCUGUCUCUUAUAC